rnacentral:rRNA from 1 species
UACGGGGGGUGCGAGCGUUGUCCGGAAUCACUGGGCGUAAAGGGCGCGUAGGUGGCCUGAUAAGGGUGUGGUGAAAGUCCGGGGCUCAACCCCGGAUCUGCCGUGCCGACUGUUAGGCUAGAGUACUGUAGGGGCAGGCGGAAUUCCUGGUGUAGCGGUGAAAUGCGCAGAUAUCAGGAGGAACACCGGUGGCGAAGGCGGUUCUCUGGGACGGUACUGACGCUGAGACGCGAAAGCGUGGGGAGCGAACAGG